rnacentral:rRNA from 1 species
AUUGAACGCUGGCGGCAGGCCUAACACAUGCAAGUCGAACGAGUGGCGGACGUGUGAGUAAUGUCUGGGCCACUGCCUGAUGGAGGGGUAUAACUACUGGAAACGGUAGCUAAUACCGCCUACCACCAGAUGUGCCCAGAUGGGAUUAGCUAGUUGGUGGGGUAACGGCUCACCAAGGCGACGAUCCCUAGCUGGUCUGAGAGGAUGACCAGCCACACUUGAACUGAGACACGGUCCAGAUUCCUACGGGAGGCAGCAGUGGGGAAUAUUGGACAAUGGGCGAAAGCCUGAUGCAGCCAUGCCGCGUGUAUGAAGAAGGCCUGCGGGUUGUAAAGUACUUUCAGCGGGGAGGCGUUACCCGCAGAAGAAGCACCGGCUAACUCCGUGCCAGCAGCCGCGGUAAUUC